GGAAUCGGCAGAGACGCUUAGUUGACUUCGGGAACCGUGAGACAGGNGCUGCAUGUCUGUCGUCAGCUCGUGUUGUGAAAUGUUGGGUUAAGUCCCGCAACGAGCGCAACCCUUAUCCUUUGUUGCCAGCGGUCCGGCCGGGAACUCAAAGGAGACUGCCAGUGAUAAACUGGAGGAAGGUGGGGAUGACGUCAAGUCAUCAUGGCCCUUACGACCAGGGCUACACACGUGCUACAAUGGCGCAUACAAAGAGAAGCGACCUCGCGAGAGCAAGCGGACCUCAUAAAGUGCGUCGUAGUCCGGAUUGGAGUCUGCAACUCGACUCCAUGAAGUCGGAAUCGCUAGUAAUCGUGGAUCAGAAUGCCACGGUGAAUACGUUCCCGGG
rnacentral:rRNA from 1 species